UUUCCGUAGGUGAACCUGCGGAAGGAUCAUUAUUGAAUGAACUUGGUAGUGGUUGUAGCUGGCUCUCUCGAGAGCAUGCGCACACCCGCCAUCUUUAUCUUUCCACCUGUGCACUUCUUGUAGACUUUGGGAUUUGAAAACUUAUCCGGGGCAACUCGGUCGGGAGGAGCUGCUGUAGCAAUACGGCUCUCCUUGACAAGUCUUCAAAGUCUAUGUUUUUCAUAUACCCCAUAGUAUGUAACAGAAUGUAUACAAAUGAGCCUUAGUGCUUAUAAAACUUAUACAACUUUCAACAACGGAUCUCUUGGCUCUC
rnacentral:misc_RNA from 1 species